GUAGGUGGCAAGCGUUGUCCGGAAUUAUUGGGCGUAAAGCGCGCGCAGGUGGCUCUUUAAGUCUGAUGUGAAAGCCCCCGGGCUCAACCGGGGAGGGUCAUUGGAAACUGGGGAACUUGAGUGCAGGAGAGGAAAGUGGAAUUCCACGUGUAGCGGUGAAAUGCGUAGAUAUGUGGAGGAACACCAGUGGCGAAGGCGACUUCCUGGCCUGUAACUGACACUGAGGCGCGAAAGCGUGGGGAGCAAACAGGAUUAGAUACCCUGGUAGUCCACGCCGUAAACGAUGAGUGCUAAGUGUUGGGGGGUUUCCGCCCCUCAGUGCUGCAGCUAACGCAUUAAGCACUCCGCCUGGGGAGUACGGUCGCAAGACUG
rnacentral:rRNA from 1 species